rnacentral:rRNA from 1 species
CCAGACUCCUACGGGAGGCAGCAGUGGGGAAUAUUGCACAAUGGGGGAAACCCUGAUGCAGCGACGCCGCGUGAAGGACGAAGUAUUUCGGUACGUAAACUUCUAUCAGCAGGGAAGAAAAUGACGGUACCUGACCAAGAAGCCCCGGCUAACUACGUGCCAGCAGCCGCGGUAAUACGUAGGGGGCAAGCGUUAUCCGGAUUUACUGGGUGUAAAGGGAGCGUAGACGGCCAUGCAAGUCUGAUGUGAAAGCCCGGGGCUCAACCCCGGGACUGCAUUUGGAACUUUGUGGCUGGAGUGUCGGAGAGGCAGGCGGAAUUCCUAGUGUAGCGGUGAAAUGCGUAGAUAUUAGGAGGAACACCAGUGGCGAGGGCGGCCUGCUGGACGAUGACUGACGUUGAGGCUCGAAAGCGUGGGGAGCAAACAGGAUUAGAUACCCCUGUA